UGAUUAAUAUUGUUGGAAAUUAUUUGUUCUAACCAACACACUUUAAGAAGCAAAAUUAAUAUUAUAUGCAAAUUGGUAUUUUUCUAAAAUUUAUUAUUUUAUGUGUUCAUAAAAUAAUAGUGUCAAUUUUAUAAACUAAUACAAUUUUGCAAUCUUUGUUUCAGCCCAAACACAAAAGGUUCGGCCCACUAAGCCAAAGCCCAAGAAGAGAUUAACUCAACAAAGAGUCAAUGACUCUUCUCACUAAAGUGGUUCGGCCCACUAUCAAUCAACCAAAGAGAGUUUUCUCUCUCCAAUCACUCCUUCAGUCAAUGCAAGAAUUCAAACAAGACUCUCCUUUGAUAUAUAUUCGGCCCAGCAAGUAUAUCAGCCCAACUUAAAUGAAACCCUAAGUUAAUAAACCCUAAUAUAAAAGCCAAAGGUAUAACACUAAAAACCUAAUACUUUCUUCUUCUCUAUUCGGCAGCCACUAUCAUUCCCUCUCUAAAAUAUUCAAAACUUUCCAAAAAACCUUCUUCUCUCUAAUGGCAGCUGCUAGGGUUUUCUAGGGUUAGGGUUUCUUUCACUUCUUCUUCUUUUCAACACAAAGGCAACAAGAGUUUAUGGAGUUAAUUUCUUCUCUUCUUCUUGCUACAGCCGCAAGGAUUAAUGUUCUUCAAAGUUUAUACCCGAAACAAGAACAACCAAAAACACAAAUCUUCUACCCGAAAAUACUAACCCAGAAAAGCACUCACUCACGGCUUUACUCACUCAAAAACCGAACCACAAAAAUGUUUCACAUCCUCAUGGCCAAAAAACCAAACCGAAAAAUACAACCCGAAUAAAUCCCUUUAGCUUUCGGCCAAUACAAUACACACCCAAAAAUCAAGAACAUAAACACAUGCACAAAUACAAAUACCACAAAAAAUAAUAAGAGUGAGAUGAGAGAAUGAAAACAGUGAUUAAAGUAGAUGACACCAAAACUUUGAUCUCGGAGUUCGCCCAAAACAACCGGCUACUUCUCCGUCAAGCCCUCAGCUUGAUUCCACUAAUCAUCAAACAAAGGAGGAGCUCACAUGGAGAUGACAACUCACAGCCAAAAGGCUCUCUUUUUACUUUGUUGUUAUUUCUGAUGUUGUUCUCUGUUGUUGUAUCUCUCUGGCUGUGACUCUUUAUUUUGCUCUGUAUAUUAUUGCUUGUUGUAUCUGAGAAAAGCACCUCCUUUUA